GGCGCACGGGUGCGUAACGCGUAUGCAACCUACUCUUACAUGGGAUAGCCCAGNGAAAUUUGGAUUAAUACCGCAUAGUAUACAGAUUCAGCAUUGGGACUGUAUUAAACAUUUAUGGGUAAGAGAUGGGCAUGCGUUCUAUUAGUUAGUUGGAGUGGUAACGGCACCCCAAGACAGCGAUAGAUAGGGGCCCUGAGAGGGGGAUCCCCCCACACUGGUACUGAGACACGGACCAGACUCCUACGGGAGGCAGCAGUGAGGAAUAUUGGACAAUGGGCGAGAGCCUGAUCCAGCCAUGCCGCGUGCAGGAAGACGGCCCUAUGGGUUGUAAACUGCUUUUGUACGGGAAGAAACACCCCCUCGUGAGGGGGCUUGACGGUACCGUAAGAAUAAGGAUCGGCUAACUCCGUG
rnacentral:rRNA from 1 species